UUGUUAUGGUUACUAAGUUCAGAUGUUUCUCUCUGAUACAGGAUGUCUCCUCUCCUUCCUCCCACUUUCCUCCCAAGGAUAUAAUAGAAUUCAGAUCAUGCAACAUCAUGCCCCUGGAAGAAAGCAAUGGAAAGACCGACUGGGAAAAAAUCUGCCAGAAAUCUGAUGUUGUCUUUGGGAGAGCAGAAAGACAUCUUCAUGAAUAUGAAAACCCCCAUCUCUUUGACUCAGAUAUUGAGUGGCAAGAUCAGUUGGGAUCUGUUGACUUCAACCAUCUGAGACAUCUGAGACUUCAUUAUGCAAGACGCUGAAGGGAUUGGAUACCAUAAAACGCUUGUCUGGAUUUCAUUGGUAUAGGGAACUCCUAGAAGAAGACUCUUCCCAUACUAAUUCAUGUCAGAACAUUCUCUGCAAUUUAUAGGUUUAGAAAAUUGUCUGAGGAGUUGAAAGGAAGCAAUAAGAAAGGGAGGGGAUAAGGAAGAGAGG
rnacentral:lncRNA from 1 species